rnacentral:rRNA from 1 species
GAUGAACGCUGGCGGCGCGCCUAACACAUGCAAGUCGAACGAUUAAAGCACCUUCGGGUGUGUAUAAAGUGGCGAACGGCUGAGUAACACGUGGGCAACCUGCCCCUUUCAUUGGGAUAGCCACGGGAAACCGUGGAUAAUACCGAAUACUUCGAGACUUCCGCAUGGAAGACUCGAGAAAGCUCCGGCGGAGAGGGAUGGGCCCGCGGCCUGUUAGCUUGUUGGUGGGGUAACGGCCUACCAAGGCAAUGAUGGGUAGCUGGGUUGAGAGACCGACCAGCCAGAUGGGGACUGAGACACGGCCCAGACUCCUACGGGAGGCAGCAGUGGGGAAUCUUGCACAAUGGGCGAAAGCCUGAUGCAGCGACGCCGCGUGCGGGAUGAAGGCCUUCGGGUUGUAAACCGCUUUCAGCAGGGACGAGGCGAAAGUGACGGUACCUGCAGAAGAAGCCCCGGCUAACUACGU